CCUACGGGAGGCAGCAGUGAGGAAUAUUGGUCAAUGGGCGCAAGCCUGAACCAGCCAAGUCGCGUGAGGGAUGACGGUCCUAUGGAUUGUAAACCUCUUUUGUCGGGGAGCAAGGCCCGCCACGUGUGGCGGGAAGGAGAGUACCCGAAGAAAAAGCAUCGGCUAACUCCGUGCCAGCAGCCGCGGUCAUACGGAGGAUGCGAGCGUUAUCCGGAUUUAUUGGGUUUAAAGGGUGCGUAGGCGGAAGGUUAAGUCAGCGGUCAAAUGUCGGUGCUCAACACCGGCCUGCCGUUGAAACUGGUCGUCUUGAGUGAGCGAGAAGUAUGCGGAAUGCGUGGUGUAGCGGUGAAAUGCAUAGAUAUCACGCAGAACUCCGAUUGCGAAGGCAGCAUACCGGCGCUCAACUGACGCUGAGGCACGAAAGCGUGGGGAUCGAACAGGAUUAGAUACCCUUGUAGUC
rnacentral:rRNA from 1 species